rnacentral:lncRNA from 1 species
UUGAAUGAAAAUAUGAAAUACAACAUAAAAACAUAAAUUUGCAGCUUCUUCUUAUAGAUAGUGCCACAAGCCUACAACAUGAAGUCGUCUCUCCAAUACCAACAGUCGAACACCGUGUUAAGGGCUGCAUACAAAAAAAAAAUAUAAAGAACAUCAAUUAACAAAUAACAAGGCAUAUGAAGAAGACCCCUUCCAAUAUGAAUUCUAUCUCCCAAGAAAUAAGCCCAAGUGCAUUAGUGACUACGCGUUCUUCCUUAAAUGCCUAAUGUGCAGCUCCGAGGAUGCAGAGCUGCUGCGACACUAUGGGGUGAUAAGCAACUAUUUAGGUGGGGAUGCUAGAGUUUAUGAGGUUAUAGACAGCUGCUGUUCUGCUCUCAGUUGGUAUAGUGCAGAUGGUGUUUGCUAUUCUCUCCUUUUGUAAGUUAUCUUGCUAAUUACCAAAUUUCAUUUCUGAUGCAUACUUAUAUGAUCAUAUAUACUUGUGAAAUGCUACCACACAAAUCAUGAUCUUAUUUUUUUUUUUUUUGUCUUUGCAUACCACAAUUAGAAGAAUCUUCCUUAAAAACAUAUCAAAAUUUAGGUAGUAAUCCCAUAUAUUGGAGCCCUCAACACCACCAAAACUUGAGCCAUCAAGAUCAUCAGGGACUACAUUAGCAAAAAGGUUCAUGUUCCUAUCAACUUGUUCGAAAUUUACAGCUCCAUUCUCAGCUAAACCCAACUCAACCCCAAACCCAACAAGAAUUUAGGGGUUUCCUCGAAUGAAGCAGCAAAACAAAAGGGGGAAAAUUUUCAAACCUUGCUUUUCAUGAUUGAAAAAAAAUAAACAACCCACAAAAAUUAGGGAUCAAACCCGCAAAGAAUUUCACGCAGCAGUCAGCACUCAAAAUCAAGAACAAUUACCCAGCAAGACUUUUAUGCAAUAUUUCAUAGACAACAAGAUUUCAGCAAGAUUUCAACAAGAUUUAAGAGAAAAUAGAACCUUAAAUGGCAGAUCGUGCUGCACUGCUGCUGUCGCGCCGAGGAGUGGAGAGUCGUUGGUGUCGCUGCUGUUGUCGCG